GAUGAACGCUGGCGGCGUGCUUAACACAUGCAAGUCGAACGAGAAGUGAAGACGGAAACCUUCGGGCGGAAGGCUUUAUUUCGAGUGGCGGACGGGUGAGUAACGCGUGGGUAACCUGCCUCAUACAGGGGGAUAACAGUUGGAAACGACUGUUAAUACCGCAUAAGACCACAGCACCGCAUGGUGCGGGGGUAAAAACUCCGGUGGUAUGAGAUGGACCCGCGUUCGAUUAGCCAGUUGGCGGGGUAACGGCCCACCAAAGCGACGAUCGAUAGCCGAUCUGAGAGGCUGGCCGGCCACAUUGGGACUGAGACACGGCCCAAACUCCUACGGGAGGCAGCAGUGGGGAAUAUUGCACAAUGGGGGAAACCCUGAUGCAGCGACGCCGCGUGAGUGAAGAAGUAUUUCGGUAUGUAAAGCUCUAUCAGCAGGGAAGAAAAUGACGGUACCUGAGUAAGAAGCCCCGGCUAACUACGUG
rnacentral:rRNA from 1 species